rnacentral:rRNA from 1 species
AGCAGCCGCGGUAAUUCCAGCUCCAAUAGCGUAUAUUAAAGUUGUUGCAGUUAAAAAGCUCGUAGUUGAAUUUCGGGAUCAAGUCGUCGGUCGUGCUUAGGUACGUACUGGCGUCAUUGAUUUCUCCCUUCUGACGAACCAUGAUGUCAUUAAUUUGGUGUCAUGGGAAAUCAGGACUGUUACUUUGAAAAAUUAGAGUGUUUAAAGCAGGCUCACGCUUGAAUACAUUAGCAUGGAAUAAUGAAAUAGGACGUUCGAUCCUAUUUUGUUGGUUUUAGGAUCAACGUAAUGAUUAAUAGGGAUAGUUGGGGGCAUUAGUAUUCAAUUGUCAGAGGUGAAAUUCUUGGAUUUAUUGAAGACUAACUACUGCGAAAGCAUUUGCCAAGGAUGUUUUCAUUAAUCAAGAACGAAAGUUAGGGGAUCGAAGACGAUCAGA